GGUCUUGUAGGUCUUCAUAGAACCGUUCAACUUCAGCUUCUUCAGCAUUACUGGUCAGGGUAUAGACUUGGAUUACCUUACAAAACCCUAUAAGCAGGUGCUGCUAUUCUCAUUUAUAAAGAAAAUGCAAAUCUGAGAUAUUAAGCACCUACAUGGGGUCACAGAGCUCGUCAGUGGGGGAAUAAGAAUUGAGGGCUAUCUGCAUCCACGGUAACCGAUGUCUGUGAGCACAGUACACCAACUGUCUCGCGUCAGCCAUUAUGGGGACUGCUGUGAACAGGCCACAAGCAAGCUAAGCACUUCACACACACAACUAAACUGAAGGCUCACAACAGUCUUGUAAGAUGUGAUUACCAUGUUACUCCUCUAUAAGAAAGCAUUCCAAAGCAGAGAGAUGCUGGGCCAUCAUGGUGGCAGUGGAGACAGUGAGAGAUGGUCAGAUUCUAGAUGUUAGGAAGAAAGAAGUAAGCUGAAAGGAACAAACAGGUAGCCAAACAGUCUUGGAAAAGCAACUGUGCUAAUACUCUGAAGAAAUGAAGAAAGCAAGCAUGCAGGCUGUCCAGAUACCAUAGAGGGGGAAAUGACUAGGUUGUGUUUUCCAUCCCACAGGGCACUCAGACUCUGUGAAAGCAGCCUCUCUCGGCGCCUUGAGCCAGGCGGGGCCGAGCACAAGCACUCACCUUUAGAGGUAACACAGAGUUAGAAGUCAUCAUCUCUCUACCGAAGUCCUUGCUCAGACUCCACCUUGGAGCCCCAGGAACACAAGGAUGUGCAUAAACGCAGCCUCAGU